AUGUUUAAAACACGGGUCAUACAAGGAAAUUUUGGUGUGGAGGUGUGGAUUUCACUAAUGCUUUACAUUAAAAACACCCAAACUACAAUGUGCACACUCAGCUGGACUAAGAUGAAGGUCUCAGGUGCUCACGUCUGGCUUCUCUUAUUGUUCCUGUUCCAAAGUGACAGAAACCAGGUUUCAGGCCAGUGUUCAGUACCCACAGCACUCUGCUGUCCUGGAGUGAAUAGCCAAUGCAACCGUGGUGGGUGUUUUUGUGAUGAGUUCUGCGUCACAAGCGGGGACUGCUGUGCUGACUACAAUCAGAUAUGCAUUCAGCCACAUUCGCCACCAUCCUUUAUAUCACCUUCAUCAACCACACUAUCAUAUUCACCGUUCUCAUCAACAUCCUUAUCAACCUCAAUAUCACCAACCUCACAACCUUUAUCUUCCUCAACAUCAGCCUCACCACCAUCUUCAUCCUCCCUACCUACAACCAACCAAUCACCAACAUCAUCACCAAUCUCACCACCAACUUCAUCCUCCUCACCUACAACCAACCAAUCACCAACAUCAUCACCAACCUCACAAACAUCUUCAUCAGUCUCACCAACAACCAACCAAUCAUCAUCACCACCACCAACCUCUGCAUCUUCAUCAACAUCCCAGCAGAGAAAAAACAUCAGUGCAAUCACAGUCUUCCACAUGCGUGUUCGCUCAGGAGCCAAUGAGGAAGCAAUGCUGAAGGCUGUGCAGGAUGUAAGUGAUUUUUAAAAAUAGUUUUCACUAGAGCAUAACUGUUUGCUUAAAUCUGGGUAAUUUGUCACCAGUGCUGGGUAAAUGUCUUCUGAAUACUAGGCUACUAAAGAUACUAUUUACUAUUUGCAACAGAUUACGUGAAUAAAAAUAUAAUAUGCAACUCAAUCUUUUAGAUUAUGUAAAAGAUAUGUUAAGAUUUAAAUAUAUUUGAAUGUCCUAUGAUCUACAGUAACUAAUACGGUCUUGAUUACUGUGGCCCUUUCAAUCUCUGCUUUGUUGUGUUGAUGCAUCCCCAUACCUUUAAUACUUUUUUCCUCUGUGUUUUUCACUAAUCUAAGUGGGUUGAUAUGUUAACAGAUUUACAGUAAGCAUUCCCGUAGCUCCUGUAACUGUAGAGCAUGUUGAAAUGCAAAAAUGAUUUAUAAAUGUAGAAUACAACAAGCACAGUCUCUCUCCUCAGUACCACAAGGUCAGCAAUUUGAAUUAUAUUUAAAAAAGGUUUUGGUCUGAAAAGAGUUGAUUUCUGUCAUUUGUUUAUUUAAUUAAUUUUAUUGUUUUAUCUCAUAUUUAUUCAAGUAAAUAUCAAUUAACUGUAGCAACUGUUUUAGCUGUUAUUUUGCAUCUUUGUACAUUUUGGUAAGUGAAAGCGUAUUUUUAGGGAUAAUUAUAUUUUGCACACUUAUAUUAGAUAACACUACGAGUAUUAUCUCUGUUUCUUUUCUGGCUUUAGUUCAUUCUCCACCUCCAGGGCUUGAUGAGGAGACAGCAGUGUGAAGACUGCAGUCUACGAGUGCUAAACAUCAGCAAGAAACAUCGCUGAUUACAUCAAGUCAAAUAUAUUAGAAUUAUUGAGAAUCCACAGUUUUUCACUAAUUAAUCAUUAUUACCUGGUCUUCUUCCACGUGUUUGUUUAAUACUCCUGGUGUGGAAAUGGUGUCACUAGAUGGCACUAGAGGACCGAACCUGUAAUGGAAAUCAUAGAGGAUUGUCCAAUCACUGUCUAACCUUAAUUUUAAUUUUAAUAUAGAGCUGCUAUAAAUGUCGAUCAAUUUAGUAUAUUCUUAUUUAAAUUAGAUUUAUAUUAGCAAUAUAUAUUAGAAUGUAACGAAAAAAGGAAUCUUAGGAUGGUUGUAUCAUAAAUGUUGUUUCAAAAGAUAGGAAAGAUAGCAUAAUAAUACAAUAACUGCCUGUUUCUCAAAUAUUCUUAUUAGGAAUCUUUAUUUCCAUAGCGUAAAUGAAUUAUUCCACAACCAACUGAUUUCCCACAACAAAAAUGAGAGUUUUAAGAAUAGGCUACUUUUAUUGUCAUAGGCCUUUUUGAAUUCAAAGCUAAGUGUUGUAGUUGGUUGUUGUACAAUGUAUAAUAGUAGCAGCAUAUAUCAAUAUAUAUAAAUAUAUUGGACUUAAAUUUAAUUAUCAUUUGUUUAAUAAAACUUUGUGAAUGCCCUCUUAUUUUUUUUUUUUUUUUUCAUAUAUGAUGUUAAUAAUUAUGAUUCAAAUUAUUUUUAUGGCAGUGUUCAAUGGAACAAAACCAUUUUCUGGGACAUUAAAAAUGCUUCAGACAAACAGGAAGUACUGUUAAAUGUUAAAUACCUCACUGUAAACACAUGAACCAGGAUGACAAGAUAAAAUGUAAAAAGAUACACUGAUGUAGUAACAGGAAUUUAAAUAUACUUUUGCCAAUGGGGGUCUGUUUCACAAAUGAUCUGGUUAUAAAAAAAAUCAUCCAAACCUCCAUGUUUACACACUCAGCUGGAUUAAGAUGAAGAUGUUAGGCACUCAUGCCUGGCUUCUCUUAUUGUUCCUAGUCCAAACUGACAGGAACCAGGUUUCAGGUAAGACAGGUACUGAGCUUCACGUAAUGUUCUGUGAGAAACUACAGCAAAUAUUCUUAUUUUGUUCAUUAUUUUGUGUCAUUUUUGUGACAGUGUGAAUUAGGAUGAUAUAAAAUGCUACAAAAGUUAAUUAAUAUAAAUACAAAUGCUACAAAAGUUGAUUAAUUUCAAACAUUUAUACAGUAGUUAAAAAUGAAAUUUGUCAAGUGUAGAAAGGACAAUAUAUAUAUAUAUAUAUAUAUAUAUAUAUAUAUAUAUAUAUAUAUAUAUAUAUAUAUAUAUAUAUAUAUAUAUAUAUACUUUUUGCCAAAG
ensembl:lncRNA